GGAUAAGUGACUGAGUGGCUGAAAGUACCGGUCUUGAAAACCGGCGUAUUCGAAAGAGUAUCGGGGGUUCGAAUCCUCCCUUAUCCG
rfam:Auxenochlorella protothecoides strain 0710 contig1223, whole genome shotgun sequence.